UACGUUAUCUCCCUUUCCCUUUUUCUCUCUGUCCCUCCCUCCUUCUUCCUCUCUAUUCUUCCCCUCCCCUUGUUUUUAUGCCUGAUUAUGUGGACACAGACAAGGAUUAAAACAGGGCACCUGCCCUUGAGGAGUUUACAAUCUGCUGGGCUGAGGAUCAACACAUGUUCAAAAAGAGAGGAAAGAAGUCAAGGGAGAUCAUGCCAGAUGGACUUAAUUUCAAUGAAGAACAGGAGUCCUAAAGAUUAAGAAGAGAGGUCUUCCUGCCUGUAAGAAGGAGGCACUCUCUGCUUCUGUCAUGUGCUAAGCUUCGUCAAACAGAUUAUCUCUCUAAAGGUAGAGGCCUGUGAUUGACCGCUGUACCAAUGACUGAGCAGACAUAAAAGUCAGCCUGGAUGGCUACCACCACUAAUCAGAUUUGUCUGCUGAUGCAAGGCCCUUCAGUCAUUCCAGAACUGGUAAAUGGAGUCACCCUGAGGACAGGCCCUGCUGCUGAUUGAUGUCCAGUGUGGGCAGCUCUCUUGGCUGCUCAACAUUCAGAGAGGCUCUCCUUGUUUCAGUGCUAAAUGAUUGACAGUCAGGGUGAGUAUUUCAGGAGGAAGAGUCCCCCGCCCACUCCAGCCAUGUGGCAAAGGUAUUUGCUUCCUUGGGAAGGAAGUGAUUUAUCUGUGGGAGAACACUGUUUGGGCAAAGUUGCGUAGGAACAGCGUCUGUCUCUGCAAGCAUGUGUGUAUGUGAGUGUGGGCAUAAAGCAGCAAGAGUGGAAGGUAAAGACAACGUGAACGUCAUAAAAGAACACUUCUUUUUACAAAUGCUUGAAAACAUUCGAUGCUGAAAGACUUCAGACCACAUAAAUGAAUUUGCACCUAAUUCAACAUAGCUAUACUUCUUUCUUUUUCAGAAUUAAUGAGCCUGCCUUAUCAUUAGUUUUAUCAUAGAAACUAUCACAGAGAAGAAACCAUCUUAGAGAGAAAUCGGUGGAAGACAAGAUGAAAAAGGAAAAAUAAAAAAGACUGGAGGCAGGGGAACAUGGAGAAUGCAAGUGUGUUUGCAUUUGCACCAAGUUUGAGUUGAAAGGCUUUAUAAGGAUUUUGAGCAGCUGUAUAAGUAGUUAGAGCUAGAUAUGUGUAUAUGUGUUGCCAUUAACCAAGUUACUUCAACAUUAGCCUUAUGAUUAUAUGCCCUAGCAUUCAGAUUCAAGGAAGAAACAGUUUCUCUGGAGAAUUUUGUUCCUUAGUGACUGAUUUCAGUUGAUUUCAAGGUAAGCCAGGUAUGUAACUAACUUUUUAAAUUUAGAUGAAUAUAAGUUUAUGUUAUUAAUGAUUAUUUGUUUAUUCAUAAAAUUGACACUGACAUGUUACUAAAAUACAAGAAUCUCAAUUUUAUAUUGAAGAAAUUAAUUCAUUAGGUCAAACACAUAAAAAUUCUGAAGUGAAAAUGAUUCAUGUGUCAAGUGGUCAUAAUGUAAGACCCCAGUAAAUAUUCCACAGUAGGUUGAGCUAAUGGCAGUUGCUUCUCAGUACACAUUCAAACAUAUUUUCUCACAAUCUAGAGAGUUCAUCUACACUGGGCAGAAAGGGCUAGAUUGAUUAGCAACCAAAGGCCUGAGCUCCAUCGCUGGUUGCAUAACAAUAGCUGUGUGACCUUUGAUAAGGUGCUUAGCCUCUCUAUGCCACUGCUUUCUCACCUGUCAUGUAAGUGUAACAAUGUCUUUCUCACCUGUCUCAUAUUAUUGCUAUGCAGAAGAAAUGAGAUUUCAUUCUGGAAGUUCUUUAAGCCCCUGAACAAAAUGCAAGUUUUUAUGGAUCCACACACACAUACACUAUUCAUGAUCAUGAAUACAUAAUGUACUCUGUUUUGAAUAUGCUGUAGGUGUUUUGUGCUUUGAAUGCUUGUGCCUGGAGAUCCCAGCCCAUAACAGCACACAAUAGGUGUCCCCUGUGGGGGUAACCCACAGAGUAUAACUCCCAGAGUAUAACCCAGGUGAUAUUCUGCCACACCUGUGCUCUGACAGAUGGUGGUGUGGAGAGAGAAAUUUGCCACAUCAACACAUGCCAAGGUAAGGAGAACAGAGCCACGUAAUAGCAACACCAAAGCCUGUCUGUCCAUUAAGCCAAGUCAAAUGCCACUUUCUUCACAUAGCUUUCUGGGGCUUCUUUCUCCUCCUGAAGGAAUUAAUUUCUUCUGAAUCUGUGUACUUGUUUCACUCUGUCGAUGUGGCCUUGAACUUUCCGUACCCAUGCCAACCCCAACAGCAUUCAGCUGGCACCCAAUAAAUAGGAUUCCAGCUCUCUUAGAGUCUGCAGCCUCAGUUCUGAAAUUCUGGCCUGACCCUGAGUCAUUCCUCAGAUUAGAUUUCACCCUAUUUGUAUUCUCCUGCCUUGCAACUUCCAGCCAAGUCAAUACAUAGUUACCAAGCACUUGCUAUUUGCUAGGAGUGUGCUAAAUUAUGGGGUACGGUAAUGGACAAUAAUUCAUGUCUUUUGCUCUCUUGAAGAUUAGAACCUAAUGAGGCUAUAAACAAUUAAACAAUUUCAAUCUUCAAACUAAGGAAUUUAUAGGGAAAUUUUCAAAAAGGGUCCAGUAUGAGAUAUAUGAGAUCUAUGGGCUGAGAAGGUGUUAAUUAGGUGAAAGUCUGUUUAGAAAGGCAGAAUGUUCCAAGUAAUACAUCUAGGCAACAAAGGAGAACCUGUUACAUUUAAGAAAUGGAAAGACACUCGGUUUGGACAAAGCUAAGUACUAAGCAAAAGCCAACUUCUUUACCUAUUUCUCUACUUCCAGCUUCACCUUAUAUUUGGUACCUUCAUACUUAAUGUUGGGCUCUGUAACUCCCUCCUGUACAGCCUCUUAAUCACCUCCCCAGUUUGGUCAACACCAAGAUCCCAGUUCCUUUUGAUCCCCAAACGGACUAAUUUCCUCUUGCCUUAUAAAUGGAAACUGAUCUGUCUCAAUGUUUUUUUUUUUAACAUGUAAUUUGCAUCACAAUGAUCCAAUUUGAGGGCACAUAUUAUUUUUCUUAUCAGACUGCCAAGGAACAGAUGAUCUUUGUAUUUCCUCCCAAGUACCUAGAAUAGUGCCUAACAAUACAUUUGUAUUUUCCUAUAACAAAUUUCUAUCAUGUCACUUUCUGGUUUAAAAUCCUUCAGUGACUCUGCAGUACAUUUUAGGACAAAACCCUAUUCCAAAAUACAGGCCACAAGUCCCUCAUGUUCCAGCCCCAUUAGCCUGCCAGCCUCACCAAAGGCAGAAGCCCUUUGCCCUCCUCACUUCCCCUUCCACUUACAGGAAGCACUCAACUUCUCAAGGCUUCUUGCUCCUUCCUGCCUUUGAGCUCCCUCACAUGCCAUUCUUUCUGCUUGCCCCACCCAGCCCCACCCAGCCAGACUCAGCCCUUCACUGUGGCUCAUCUUGGAGGUCUCAGGUUACAUAUCACUUCACAGGAAGGCUUUCCCCAAUACUCACUUAGUUGCUACUGCUACAAUAUGGCACUUAUUAUGCUUUACUGAAAUUACUUGUUGAAAUGUUUAUCUCUCCUGCUGAGGGUAUCUCAGCCUUGGUAUGAUUGACAUUUUGGACCAAAUCAUUCUUUGUGGCGGGGGCUGUCUUGUACAUGGUAGGUUGUUUAGCAGCAUCCCUGGCCUCUACCCGCUAGAUGCCAGUAGCACCUUCCCCAGUUAUGACAGCCAAGAAUGUCUGCAGACGUUGCUAAAUGUCUCCUGGGGGGGCAGUCACAUCCAUUUGAGAGUGACUGUGCCAGAUCAUUGAGAAGGUAAGGACUGUGUCUUGAAUAAGUAGUGAAUACCACUGUAUCACAACCUGGCAUUUAGUGGAAGGCUACUGAUCAUGUGUUGCAUGAAUGAAUAGAAGUUUUUACUAUAAGCUCCUACUGAAUGAAUGAAUAUUAGUAAGAAAACUGUGUCAGAAACACUGGUAGUUCAGAACCCUGCAUUUUUAUUUAAUGAAGGGUGGAACCUGCAAGAACAUGGUGGUCUCUUACUUUGGAACCUGUCUCCUCCUUGCCUGUUAAUCGGUCCUGGUCCUCUAUUCCCCCCACCCCCAAACAUACCUCUUUGGGCUGCCCUGUCCACCCAUCUCCCCUCUACCAAGCAGAAAAAAAAGGUUCCAGCUCCCUGAGCUUUCUUCUUCAAAGACAUUUAAGCUUUUAAUGCGAAUCCUGAUUAAUUAACAAGGGCACGGGACUUACAUGCAUUUCAAGUUGCUUUUAUCUCGUGAAGAAAAGAAGCCUUUUGGCAGAUACUUUCUGUUCAAUGUCUAGUUCAGUAUUUCAAAGGGCAAGCUGUGAUGGGCUGAGCGGGUUACCAUUUGUGUGUGUGUGAAGGGCAAUGACUAGUAAUUAAGGGACAGACCCCUUUAUGUCAACUUAAGAAAAAAAAUUAAUCUCAGCUUCAUUUCAAGCUGGGUUUGGUGUUGAAGGGCAGAAGCAAAAUAGAAAGGGGGUACACUGUAUGGUAAUGGCUGGAUCUCUUUGGCUUUGAAUGAAAAAGCUAAUAUUUGUUGAGAACCUACUGUAUACUAUAUCAGAUCCCCCCAGAACCCUGUGGAAGAGUCAAUAUAAUUUAAUUUUACAAAAACAAAGUUUGGGAGGCAUCAAGUUAUUUGUCCAAAAUACAACAAAUAGUCCAGCCAUAUUCAGAAUAUGGUAGAUCUGAAUACAUUCUUUCAUCCAAAACUUCCGGCUUAGUCAAUUGUCUGCUGCUAUAAUAGAUACCACAGACUGGGAAAUUUAUGAAGAAAAGAAAUUUAUUUGGCUUAUGGUUCUGGAGGAUGGACAGUCCAAGGUCAUGACACUUGGAUCUGUUCGGCCAUCUGGUGAAGACCUUGUUGCAUUCUCCCAUGGUGGAAAGAAGAAAGCAAGUGAGUACAAGAGAUAGAGAAAGAUAAGGGCAGAACUUACUCUCUUAUCAGGAGUCCGCUUCUAUAACCCAUUCUAAAAAUAAAGCAUUAAUCCAUUCAUGAGGGUAGAGCCCUCAUAACCUAUCACCUCUAAAGAUCCCACUUCUUAAUACUGUCACAAUGGCAAUUAAAUUUUAACGUGAGUGUUGUAGGGAACAUUCAAACAACAGCAACUACAACAACAACAGACGUCAGCUCCUGUGUGUCUUCCCUUGCUCAUCUAUGCCUACCAGAAUAGAAUGAAAGAAGGGUUUAUUUGAUCCUGUGUUCAAGUCAUUCAUUUAUUCCACUAGGCAAUCUGUCAAGAUCUCAUAGAUUAAGGGCUCCUACAGCAACCUGUACUCACCCUAUUUUACCCUUUAUCAUACAUUUUUGAUCAUGCAUGUGAUGGCUGGAACUCAGUCAUUUUGGACCAUGAAGACCAGACCCACACGCUGGGGCCUAAGAAGCAGAAGUAUGAAAGCCACCUGGAUCCCUGAAGACCAUGGAAUUGUUAGAACAAUUCUACUCUAUCUGUAGACUUGUUUUAUUUGAAAGAUAAGUAGAUUUCUGUCUUAUUCAAUUCACUGAUUUUGGUUCUUUGUUAUUUGCAAUCAAAUCUAAUUCCAGUAGAUACAACUCCUAAGUGCAGAGCACUGUUCUAGGGAUUGUGGGGCAUGCUGACAUGGGUCUCAUGCCUGCAUAGCACUCAUAGCCUGCAGAAGAACAGCAGUGCUGCCAUAUCUGAUGGUCAUUUGACACACUGAACUCCAGCCAUAUCAAUUUUCUUUUCAGUCCCCAAAUGGCAGUCACCACAAAAGAAGAAAAGAUAAAGCUCUUAGUGGGAUCUGAAUCAAGAGAUACCACUUACAGUGGAAGGAAAAAAGAUCAUUUUCAUGGAGGAACUGCCCUUGAAUUUCGCCUUGAAUAUUGAUGAGUAUUGGAAUCUGCAGAGACUGGGAUAAGGUUGGGAUGAGGUCGAACACUACAGGAACAGAAAAUAUGGAACAUGUUUGGGAGCAGGCCAGGGAUUCUGUCAUAUAAAGUGCAUGAAAAAGCAUAUCAUGUAAUAUUUAUGAUUAUUGCUCUGGAGUUAGACUGUUUGGGUUUGAAUCCCAGAUCCAGUGUUUACUAUCUAUGUGACCUCGGCUGAGUCAUGAACUUCCAUGAGCUCCAUUCUUCUCACCUUUAAAAUGAAGAUCACAACUCCUACCUUCUUGGCUUGUUACCAGAAUUAAAUGAGUUUUUAUGUGUGGAGGGCUCAUGAGAGUGGCUGUCCCAAAUAAGCAUUCUCUAAAUGUUAGAUAUGACUGUCAUCCCCUUAAAACUGCAAGAGUUAGUUGAAACCAUAGCAAGCCGAGCCAUGAAUGCCAUGUUAAUGCAUGUUAAUGCCAUUAUUAUAAAGGUACCAAAAAGCUGCUGACAGUUUGUGAGCAAAGUUGUGGAUGACAUUAUCAGAGCUGUAUUUUAGGAAGUCUUAAUAUGUCAA
rnacentral:lncRNA from 1 species